rnacentral:rRNA from 1 species
AUUGAACGCUGGCGGCAUGCCUUACACAUGCAAGUCGAACGGCAGCACGGGAGCAAUCCUGGUGGCGAGUGGCGAACGGGUGAGUAAUAUAUCGGAACGUGCCCAGUCGUGGGGAUAACGUAGCGAAAGCUACGCUAAUACCGCAUACGAUCUAUGGAUGAAAGCGGGGGAUCGCAAGACCUCGCGCGAUUGGAGCGGCCGAUAUCAGAUUAGGUAGUUGGUGAGGUAAAGGCUCACCAAGCCGACGAUCUGUAGCUGGUCUGAGAGGACGACAGCCACACUGGGACUGAGACACGGCCCAGACUCCUACGGGAGGCAGCAGUGGGGAAUUUUGGACAAUGGGCGCAAGCCUGAUCCAGCAAUGCCGCGUGCAGGAUGAA